ensembl:snoRNA Gm22792 predicted gene, 22792
CUUGUCCCCAGAGGCAUUGCUGGUGUGGCUGCGGUGACACCUAUGUAUCAGUAGGUGGCAGAGAACUGAGAGGCCAUGUCCUCACUCAGUGCUCUGACCUACGAACAUCCCUGAAAACAGUGAGCCUGAGAUG